UACGUAGGGGGCUAGCGUUGUCCGGAAUCAUUGGGCGUAAAGAGCGCGUAGGCGGCCAGAUAAGUCCGGUGUGAAAGUCACAGGCUCAACCUGUGAAUGCCGCUGGAAACUGUCUGGCUUGAGUCCGGGAGGGCGAGUGGAAUUCCUGGUGUAGCGGUGAAAUGCGCAGAUAUCAGGAGGAACACCAAUGGCGAAGGCAGCUCGCUGGAACGUUACUGACGCUGAGACGCGAAAGCGUGGGGAGCAAACAGG
rnacentral:rRNA from 1 species